UAACAAAACACUGCUUACUAAAGGUCAAACACUGUCCUCAGCACGUUAUAGCUACUAAUUCAUUUAAGGCUUACAACAUCCCUAUGACAUGGUGCCAUUAUUAUCACCGUUUAGCAGUUGAGGGAACUUAGACACAGAGAGGCUACAUAACCAGGCUCCAGAUCACAUAGCUGAUAAAUAACAGAGCUGGGAUUGAACCUAGGCAGUCUGGCCCUCAAGUUCAUGUUCUUAACCUCUGUGUUACACUUUGCACAAAGCAUGGAGGCAAUACAAAGAUGACAAGACCCAAUCUGCCAUUUGCAGAGCAGGCUUUGCAAAGGAAGCGCCGUAGGGGCUUUGGGUGGGGAAGGGAAGCAAAAGGGUGAGAAACAGGAGCAAAAGCACCCAGCCCUCAAGGAACACACAUGCAGGAAAGAGCAAGGCAGUAGACUCCUAACACCCAAAGGGAUUCAUCUGCAGGGCUGCUAGAAUACUCUAUUCGUGAAUACCACUAUGGUUGUUACAGCAUAGCACAUUUGAUACCCAAGAUUUCUUUCUUCUGGUCGAGAAUCAAAACUUUCUAACACUUUCGUGCUUUGACUUAACUUCCAUUUCAUGGCCAUUUUGCAAAAAGAAAAAAUUUUUAUUACUUUAUGAGAAUACCCUAACAAUGAAUUUGAAACAAUAAGGCUCAUUCCAUUGGGAAGGCUUGAAGCCAGCUAGGCUCACUUACUCGCUGCAUGACUCACAGCUCAUACCCCUCACACAUCUGUGAUGUGAAUUCAAGCCUCAGCAGAGCAGCUCACAGAUAGCCAACACCAGGAAAGUGAAAUCUGGGAAUGUCAGGAGCCUACCAUGUCCUGCAGGCUGGACCACACGGCGUGAAGGAGAGGAGGAGGAAAGGAGGCUGGCAGUCAUGGGCAGAUCAAACAGAAUAUUAUCCAGAGAGUUGAGGAGUCAGAGGUGGAUGUCAGCCCUGAACAGAUAGGAAGAAACGUAAACCUGGGCGAGCAGCACUGGUCCUGGUUCUGCUGCAUCCUGUUGAGCUUUUGAGUCAUUAAGAAGACCCUAUGAAGUAGGACAUUAUUCAGAUCCUCAUGUUAUAUCUUAAGAAACUCAAGAUGGCUGUGUGCCAAGGUUGACAUAAUGGGUAAGUGGCAGAGCGAAGAUGUGAACCCAGGCUCUCCACCUUCACAGGCUUGGUGUUAAUUAAAGAAUGAAUGCUCGGAGUUGAUUUUUU